rnacentral:rRNA from 1 species
UACGUAGGGUGCAAGCGUUGUCCGGAAUUAUUGGGCGUAAAGAGCUCGUAGGCGGUCUGUCGCGUCGAAUGUGAAAACCCGGGGCUCAACUCCGGGCUUGCAUUCGAUACGGGCAGGCUAGAGUUCGGUAGGGGAGUCUGGAAUUCCUGGUGUAGCGGUGAAAUGCGCAGAUAUCAGGAGGAACACCGGUGGCGAAGGCGGCAUCCUGGACCGGCAUUGACGCUGAGGCGCGAAAGCCAGGGGAGCAAACGGG